rnacentral:rRNA from 1 species
CUACGGGCCGCUGCAGUGAGGAAUAUUGCACAAUGGGGGGAACCCUGAUGCAGCAACGCCGCGUGGAGGAUGACGCAUUUCGGUGUGUAAACUCCUUUUAUAUGUCAAGAAAAUGACGGUAGCAUAUGAAUAAGCACCGGCUAACUCCGUGCCAGCAGCCGCGGUAAUACGGAGGGUGCAAGCGUUACUCGGAAUCACUGGGCGUAAAGGACGCGUAGGCGGGUUGGAAAGUCAGGUGUGAAAUCCUACAGCUUAACUGUAGAACUGCACUUGAAACUUCUAAUCUAGAGUAUGGGAGGGGGAGAGAGAAUUAGUGGUGUAGGGGUAAAAUCCGUAGAUAUCACUAGGAAUACCUAAAGCGAAGGCGAUCUCCUGGAACAUUACUGACGCUAAGGCGUGAAAGCGUGGGGAGCAAACAGGAUUAGAUACCCUUGUAGUC